rnacentral:sRNA from 1 species
GUUUGCACUUGUCGGGGAAGGGUGAGAACCUUCGAUUAAGGUUCGACUCGAGCGAAAGCGAGAGAAUGUUGCCAACGGCAACGGCCCGUGUAGGAGCGAAGCGACGAAUAAUCCUUCCCCACCACCA